rnacentral:rRNA from 2 species
CGCGCUACACUGACAGAGCCAGCGAGUUUUUUUCCUUGGCCGGAAGGUCUGGGUAAUCUUGUGAAACUCUGUCGUGCNGGGGAUAGAGCAUUGCAAUUAUUGCUCUUCAACGAGGAAUUCCUAGUAAGCGUGAGUCAUCAGCUCGCGUUGAUUACGUCCCUGCCCUUUGUACACACCGCCCGUCGUUACUACCGAUUGAAUGGCUUAGUGAGGUCUUGGGAUCGGCUUCGGGGAGUCGGCAACGACACCCUGUCGCUGAAAACUUGAUCAAACUUGGUCAUUUAGAGGAAGUACAAGUCGUAACAAGGUUUCCGUAGGUGAACCUGCGGAAGGAUCAUUA